UACAGAGGGUGCAAGCGUUGUUCGGAAUUAUUGGGCGUAAAGGGCGCGUAGGCGGUGCGGUAAGUCUGUAGUGAAAUCUCUGGGCUCAACUCAGAGUCUGCUAUAGAAACUGCCGUGCUUGAGUGUGGGAGAGGUGAGUGGAAUUCCCGGUGUAGCGGUGAAAUGCGUAGAUAUUAGGAGGAACACCAGUGGCGAAGGCGGCACUCUGGGCCAGUACUGACACUGAGGAGCGAAAGCGUGGGUAGCGAACAGG
rnacentral:rRNA from 1 species